rnacentral:ribozyme from 1 species
UGCCCUGCAGCUCGUAUUCUUACCUCCGCGCGGUAAUGGCCGGGCUACGAGCAACCUUAGGGGAAGAUCUGGUAGUCAACUCCGGUGGGAACUUUGGUCGUAUGCUGACAGGGAUGG